rnacentral:rRNA from 1 species
GACGAACGCUGGCGGCGUGCAUAAUACAUGCAAGUAGAACGCAGUUGCGAACGGGUGAGUAACGCGUAGGUAACUGCCUCAUAGCGGGGGAUAACUAUUGGAAACGAUAGCUAAUACCGCAUACUGUGAGAUGGACCUGCGUUGUAUUAGCUAGUUGGUGAGGAAAAGGCUCACCAAGGCGACGGUAACUAGCCGGCCUAGAAGGGUGAACGGCCACCAUGGAACUGAGAAACGGACCAGACUCCUACGGGAGGCAGCAGUAGGGAAUCUUCGGCAAUGGACGGAAGUCUGACCGAGCAACGCCGAGUGAGUGAAGAAGGUGUUCGGAACGUAAAGCUCUGUUGUUAGAGAAGCGGGAACUAACCAGAAAGGGACGGCUAACUACGUGCCAGCAGCCGCGGUAAUAC